rnacentral:sRNA from 1 species
UAGCAAUUCAUGUAGUUUCUUAGACAGGC